rnacentral:misc_RNA from 1 species
UCUCCGUUGGUGAACCAGCGGAGGGAUCAUUACCGAGUUUACAACUCCCAAACCCCUGUGAACAUACCUAUCGUUGCCUCGGCGGUGCCCGUUCCGGCGGCCCGCCAGAGGACCCCCAAACUCUUGUUUUAUACAGUAUCUUCUGAGUAACACGAUUAAAUAAAUCAAAACUUUCAACAACGGAUCUCUUGGUUCUG